AUUGAACGCUGGCGGAAUGCUUUACACAUGCAAGUCGAACGGCAGCACGGACUUCGGUCUGGUGGCGAGUGGCGAACGGGUGAGUAAUAUAUCGGAACGUGCCCAGUCGUGGGGGAUAACGUAGCGAAAGCUACGCUAAUACCGCAUACGAUCUACGGAUGAAAGCGGGGGAUCGCAAGACCUCGCGCGAUUGGAGCGGCCGAUAUCAGAUUAGGUAGUUGGUGAGGUAAAGGCUCACCAAGCCGACGAUCUGUAGCUGGUCUGAGAGGACGACCCGCCACACUGGGACUGAGACACGGCCCAGACUCCUACGGGAGGCAGCAGUGGGGAAUUUUGGACAAUGGACGCAAGUCUGAUCCAGCCAUUCCGCGUGCAGGACGAAGGCCUUCGGGUUGUAAACUGCUUUUGUACAGAACGAAAAGGUCUCUAUUAAUACUAGGGGCUCAUGACGGUACUGUAAGAAUAAGCACCGGCUAACUACGUGCCAGCCGCCGCAGUAAUAC
rnacentral:rRNA from 1 species